ACCAACCAACCUCACAUUAAGGAAAAAGCCAAUGACUGAAAGACUCAACAGGAAGCAAAGCAAAUACUACAGCCUCCUGACCACAGCUACUGCAUACAUGUUUCUGCCAUUUGCCAGACAUUUCACUAAUUUAUUCGUAUUGCGGAACACACGGCUUUGGAAGUGCGGAACUGUGCGCUGGCUUAAGACUGAAAGGCAGCAGCAGAGGAAGAAAUCAGAGGCCUGUUGCCCAGCCGUGGAUUUGCUGGGCAUAGAAAGAUAAACAGGAAGCAUCUCAAAAGACAGAAGAAGCAAUGGUUACACAGCUUUCUCUGCAGAAUAGACAUGCCAUGUUCUGUCUACAGCGGAGUUGCGACUGAUCUGCAGGCAGAGUUUCACUUUCAGAAGAGAAUAUUCCAGUGUUGGGGCUCGGGGCUAGAUGCUCAAGUAAAUCCGUGUCUACUGCUGGAAACAUCUGCCGCCCAUAUAAUUCUCCUUUCUCUUGCUGAAACAUCUGGUUGGUCAAAGAAAUGAUAAUGACAGCA